CACGGCGAGUGAGCGGCAAGAGCUCAAAUUUGAAAGCUGGCUCCUUCGGGGUCCGCAUUGUAAUUUGCAGAGGAUGCUUCGGGAGCGGUCCCCAUCUAAGUUCCCUGGAACGGGACGUCAUAGAGGGUGAAAAUCCCGUAUGGGAUGGGGUGUCCGCGCCCGUGUGAAGCUCCUUCGACGAGUCGAGUUGUUUGGGAAUGCAGCUCUAAAUGGGUGGUAAAUUUCAUCUAAAGCUAAAUAUUGGCCGGAGACCGAUAGCGCACAAGUAGAGUGAUCGAAAGAUGAAAAGCACUUUGAAAAGAGAGUUAAAAAGCACGUGAAAUUGUUGAAAGGGAAGCGCUUGCGACCAGACUCGCUCGCGGGGUUCAGCCG
rnacentral:rRNA from 1 species